GUGCUUGUUGGCAGCAUAUUUAUUAAAAUUGGAAUGAUACAGAGAUUACCAUGACCCCUGCAUAAGGAUGACACACAAAUUUGUGAAGUGUUUCAUAUUAAA